AAUAUCAAUAAAGAAAAAAAGAAAUGGAUCAAUCAAUUGCAGGCAAAAGUUUGCUACUACCAUUUCACAUCUCUGCCUUUUUGUUCUUGAUUCCUGGUUUUUGCUCCAUUCUGUCCGAUGAAAACUAUGGAGGUUACUGUAAGAAUUAGCAUUGCCGGAAAUCCAAUCAACGAACCUG
rnacentral:ribozyme from 14 species